rnacentral:rRNA from 1 species
UACGGGGGGGGCAAGCGUUGUUCGGAAUUACUGGGCGUAAAGGGCUCGUAGGCGGCCAACUAAGUCAGACGUGAAAUCCCUCGGCUUAACCGGGGAACUGCAUCUGAUACUGGAUGGCUUGAGUUCGGGAGAGGGAUGCGGAAUUCCAGGUGUAGCGGUGAAAUGCGUAGAUACCUGGAGGAACACCGGUAGCGAAGGCGGCAUCCUGGACCAAUUCUGACGCUGAGGAGCGAAAGCCAGGGGAGCAAACGGG